GGUGGGGGUGCAGGAGCUGGAAGGGGUGUUCUCCAGGCAGAGGGAGGGAAGGAGCAGGGAGAACUGCAGCCCCCAGCAGCUCGGUCAGUGCUGGAUGGACUCGGGGCUGGGAAAGGUCACUCAGUGUGAGGGCAGGGACACUGAGCUGGUCCAAGUGUGGCAAGAAGAACAAGUGGGCCGUGAAGGUUUGGAGCAUUCUGGAAGGUUCCUCAUGCCCAAAGGAUCCUGGCAAGUGCAGCACUGGAAGGGUACAGAAUAAUGAAAAGUGCCUUAGUUCUCCUGAAGCUCAACUUUGUAAAAUAUUCAUGAAGAUAGAAUUCUACUGUACUGAGCUGUUGGGUCCCAAAUCCUCUUGGAGGGAGAGGCAGAAACUCCCACUGCUGCUGGGGCUGAACUGCUUGCAGUGACCAGGUAGGACUCGGCCCUGAUGUCUGAGUGCUCUCCAGUCCCCCCAGGAUGGAUCCCACCUGUCAGCCCCCGGCUCCAUAACUUGAGGAGAGGGUGUUCCUGCAAGCCCAGCUGCUGUGCUGGUGGUCCUGUGUGCACCUCUUGCCCUGGCCUGCUGUGAAUGUAUUUGUGUUGCAGCUCAGUAAAGUCCCAGUAAUGUGGUGA